rnacentral:misc_RNA from 1 species
GCAAGUUUUCCCCCACACUCUUCCCCUCUCGUCAAUCCCUUUCGCCGGCGAUCCUCCCCACUCUCCAGCAGCCGCGCGCAGUGUGCCGACAGUCGUCCGUGCGCCGCCGUUUGUCGUUCCGUCUGUGGUAUAGGUUAGGCACUUGGCAUUGUCCUUGGUUUGGGCCAAACUAGAAGAUGAAGCUUGACGUGAACGCGCUGCGCUAUCUCUCAAAAGAUGAUUUUAGGGUUCUUACUGCUGUUGAGA